rnacentral:tRNA from 1 species
GCUCUGGUAGCUCAGGGGUAGAGCGCGUCCUUGGUAAGGACGAGGUCGCGGGUUCAAAUCCCGCCCAGAGCU